GGGCCCAAAAGCGUUUUGGUCCACAAGGCCCAUUAUGUUUAAGUUGUAUGACAACUAACACAAAAUGGGCAAAUUAGCCCAAUAACAAAGGAUGGCCGGCCAUUAGGGUGAAUGGGCAAAGUUUGCUUUAUUACAAGUUUGCCACUCACCAAAGAAAAGGUUAUAAAAGCAACUUUAUAGCUAUUUUCUAAUUAGGGUUUUUCUUGUUGAAAUUGGGUGAAACAUUUUCUCCAUUUUCUUCUAAGGAGGCCGGCCACUAAGGGGAUGGACAUCUAGCAAUCUCUUCUUCCCUUAGUCAUCCAAUUCAUCUUCACAAGAUACAACCUUGGUGAAGAG
rnacentral:lncRNA from 1 species